GGGGGCGAUCGGUUUCGACGGAGAUCUCGACCAACUUGCUGCGUGCCGUGGGGCUCGACGAACCACGUAAAAACUCGACGGGAACCAUAAUUGCGAACGACAACGCAAUCGCUCUCGCUGCCUAAACAGCAGGUCUGAAAGCCGGUCGACCGAUGGGCCCGCCAGCGCCCGCGGAAGCCCGUCAACAAGCUGGCUAGCCAGAGCCCGGGACACCGGGGCCGAGGCGAGAUCAAACAGGUGCCUAGUCCCAGUGCGAGCGCGUCGGCCCGCGCAAACUGAGACGACCCAAUAGGCCGAAUACGCACGUAGACGCAGCUGGCCUCGAAAUUUUCGGACCCGGGUUCGAUUCCCGGCGCCUCCACCA
rnacentral:tmRNA from 1 species